CUAGUAGUGGUCUAAGGAAUGUUUCUGUGACUCGAGGGAAAUCUGCUGCUACUUCACAUGAUGUGUGUUUAAGGUCCUCCAAAAAAGCUUCCCAUGAAGAUGGGGCCUCUGUUCAACAAUCCAUAGGCAACCACCAGGAAGAGGCACUGGAGAAUAACAAGGAUAAUACCAAUCCUAGCAAUAUUGACAGACCACUUGAUCACAAUAGUCACCGAUCAACAAGCACGGCCUUGGGCAAGCAUGCAACUGAGAAGUUCCCUGAAGUAGUUGUUGCAUCUUCUGUGUGUUCGGGCAACAGUGCAGGUGCUCUAUCCAAUGACCACAAGCAUGGAGCAAAGAGGAAAAGCCGAGAAGGAGAAGAAACUGAGUACCAGAGCGAUGUAUUAGCAUACUCAUGUUAUAUUCAGGAUGUUGAAGAUGAAUCAGUCAGCUUAAAGAAACCUCCUCCUGCACGUGGCUCUAGUGCAAAGAGAAGUCGAGCUGCAGAAGUGCAUAAUCUGUCUGAAAGAAGGCGAAGAGAUAGGAUCAAUGAGAGAAUGCGUACGCUGCAAGAACUUAUACCCAAUUGUAACAAGGUGGACAAAGCAUCAAUGCUUGAUGAGGCCAUUGAGUAUCUUAAAACUCUUCAGCUUCAAGUGCAGAUAAUGUCUAUGGGAAAUGGAUUUUGUAUGCCUCCAAUGAUGUUACCUCCUGGAAUGCAACACAUUCGUGCACCUCCCAUGGGUCCUUACUCAACAAUGGGCUUAGGAAUGGGGAUGGGAAUGGGUUACGGGAUGGGAAUGCUCGACAUGAAUGGUUCCCCCCUAAUUCCACAAUUUCCUUGCCCUUCACUUCCUGGAGCUCCAGGAUUGCAUGGGAUGCCUGGAUCUGCCGCUCUUCAGAUGUUUGGAAUUCCUGGACAGGGUUUCCCUGUGCCAAUGCCACGACCGGCACAAUCUUCAUCUUUCUCGAUGCUUCCUACAAAACCAAACUCAGUGCCUGAAGGAUCAGAAGCAGACAUAAAUCCAGUACCACAAUCAGCUGCAGAGACAGUUCCAUCUUCAAGUUCAAAGGAUCAGCAUCACCAGAGUAUAAACUCAGAGCUGCCACCAAAAACAAGUGUUCACAACUCACAGAUUCAGGCAUCGAUGAAGGUUAUAAGCUUUAUCCCUGAACUGUAUUUUCUCUUCCAAUCACAUAUUUUUGGGCAUGUGACAACUCAUCAUGUUUUCACGUGCACCAUUUUUGUGUGCUGCACCAAAUUAGGUGAUGCUUCCUGUUUGUUUGUCUCGUGCUUUUGAUUCAUCCAUCCUUGUAUUCCAGGCAAAUAAUGAAUGUGCAGAACACUCUACCUUAGUGCAAAUGAGUGAUCAAAAUGUGCGUAUAGGUGGAAAUGGCUCCAUCAAUUGUCAGAGGAAAAAUGGAUAGAUAAUUCAUGAGAAAUUAAGUUAUUGGCUGAUCGAGGUCGGUGGUGCACAGAGACUUCUACCCUGCCACAACUGGAUUAUAGACAGACAUCCACUUUGUGAAAGUCAUGCUAGACAUCAUAUGAUACAGAAACAACUGUCUGCAUUCUAGCUGGGUGAGUAUAAGAAUAUGCAGAAAGUCAUCAGAAGGAAGUUUGGAUGGGAAUCUACUCAAUUGUACAUUAGAAGGGAUACAGAUUCAGAGUAGUGGAAUCAAUGCAGUUAAUGUGAAUGUCAGAGAGGAUGAGUUUUGACAUUGUAGCUGAAGAUAAGAUUGGGUUACACCUUUCUUGCAUUUAUUUUCAUUAAUGGGACUAUAUUUUUCUAUUAGUUUGAUUAUCUACUGGGAUUUUGCCAGAUUGUAUGAUUGUAGAAA